rnacentral:rRNA from 1 species
CUCAGGAUGAACGCUGGCGGCGUGCUUAAUACAUGCAAGUCGAACGAAGCACUUAUGACAGAUCCCCUCGGGGUGAAGACGUUGUGACUGAGUGGCGGACGGGUGAGUAACGCGUGGGUAACCUGCCUAUGCAGGGGGACAACAGUUGGAAACGACUGCUAAUACCGCAUAAGCGCACGGCACCGCAGUGGUGCAGUGUGAAAAGAUUUAUCGGCAUAAGAUGGACCCGCGUCUGAUUAGGUAGUUGGUGAGGUAACGGCCCACCAAGCCGACGAUCAGUAGCCGACUUGAGAGAGUGAUCGGCCACAUUGGGACUGAGACACGGCCCAGACUCCUACGGGAGGCAGCAGUAGGGAAUAUUGCACAAUGGGGGAAACCCUGAUGCAAGCGACGCCGCGUGAGUGAUGAAGUAUUUCGGUACGUAAAGCUCUAUCAGCAGGGAAGAUAAUGACGGUACCUGACUAAGAAGCCCCGGCUAACUACGUGCCAGCAGCCGC